CAGGUUAGUCCCUGUCUCAAAAAAAAAAAAAAAGCAAAUGGUUUUACCCGUAAUUUAUUAAAAUAUACAAAUAUAUUUUCCCAACAAUAGAUUAAUUAAUAUAUAAUUAAUUAAUAUGGUAAUAUGUGUACAAUAUGUAUGUUAAUUGUAAGUGUUAAGUUAUGAAUUCAUCCCUGAAAUGUAGACUGAAGGCCCGGGAGACGGCCUCCUACAGCUAAACUCGGUGCUCUUUCUCUAGCAGGGGCUGUGCCUCUGUGACCCUGAGGCUGGACUCAACCCCCAGGAAUGGAAAGAAGUCACAAGGAGCUCGGCUGGCUGAGCACCAAGACGGUGCCCCGAAAGCCCCUUUUUGGAGAAAUCCCCUAAUAUGUCCACUGCAGGGUUAGGAGAAUGUGGAGCACGUGACAGUGGCUCCCCUGCUUCCACAUGCCCCUAACCCGGAAUUGGAGGGGAUCAUUUGCGUCACUACAAAAAACUAUCCUGGGCCGAUAAUUACUUCUCUUGAGCGUUCAAAACGUGUUUUCAAUUCCGUUUUCCAGCGGAGGAGCUGGAGGCCAUGGAAUUUCUACCUCCCAUGCUACUACCUUCCACCUGGCGGCCUCAGAUGAGAUCGGCCUUGGCUCAUAACCUCAAGAGAGUGCAGCUGGGAGGCCCUGGCAGCGCUAAGCAGGGCCCAGCCUGGGUGGAGCCCCCACUGCGGCUGGAACGGUGGAGCCUCACGGACUCUGGCUGGGGUCGCAGGGCAGAAUCCAGGCUUAGGGCGCUACAGUACAGAAGAAAGUACUGGAAUGCCAGCAAGAUGAUAAUUAUUCUCUGAGAAUACGAGAAAGGGAGAAGCCUGAAUGUCGGUCGAAAUUACGUUCUGGUUACUUACAGUGGAAUUUGAUUCUGACCAUCUUAGUAAAAAAUGGGAUUUACUGGAAUUCUCUCAUGUGCUUGGAGGAAAAACUGAAAGUCAGUGCUUGGAAACUGAGCAGGCAUCAAGGUGGGCUGGACAGUGGUGAGCAGACCAAAGGUCAUGGCAUGGGAGGAUCUUGGCCAGCACAUCAUCAUCACUGCCUCCAGGAAUAAUCCAUUCACCAUCUGGGCCCAUCAUCUGAAGUCACUUGCUCAGGAUAUAAAGACCUAAGAGACAGAAUUUGGUUUGCUAUGCUUCAGUUAAUUUCUUCAAACAGAUCCAUAGAAACAACUUCUUAACGCAGCAUUCCUUCCACAGAUAACAGUUUUCUCCAGUGACUCUGGGAAGUAAGAUUGUAGAAUAAGUUCCUUGGAACGCUGACCAAACAGGAAUCAACAUAUUGUGACAUCAUAAUAUAAACAUAUUCCUCUUGGAACUUUGCUCCAUGCAAUUUAAAAGAGGGCUAUGCACACAUCAAGUUAUUUCAUUUUCUUUUACUUCUGUAGGGGGUUUCCUCUGGCUUGACUUCCAAAUGGAGUGCUAUUUAAAUCACUGCGAUUGGCUGACCGUUAAUAAUACUUUAUGAGAAGGAAUUAGAGACUAAUAUUUUAUUCUAGUUUUAAUUCAAAACCAUCUGAAAACUGACUUCCUCAUAAUGAAUCAGACUUGGCUGGGAGCAUGAUAAAUUUAAUUAUAAUGGACUUCAUGUGGGUAUUGCCAGUCAUUUACAUAUUAAUUGAGUCCCGUGAAAUGAUUUUUCUUACCGUUUUGAGUGUUAAAACCAAGGAAGGGCUAAAGCACAGAAAGACCUGAUUCUCUCGUUUGUGAGACAUCUGUGGUAUUUUCAGUUGCACGAAGCCACCCAUAACAGUGUUGAGCAUUAAGAAAGCCCAGGGUUCAGGCUCUGGAGACCCAAGGUGUUGCUAGCGUUGCUGAAAGGUCCCAUUGCUCAGUGGAGUCGUGAAGGACUCAGGCUUUCUGUCUCCCCUCUUGGCUUUCUGGUCUACAGUUGAGGUUUUCCCAGGGCUGGUUCCCUGAGGGUGGGGGCUGCUAAGAUGCCUCAUUAUUACUUGGGCAUGAAGCUGACUGUUCUGGGCACUCUCCUGGGAGAAUGUGGAGAAAUUUCAUCUGCAGCCAGUGGUGAAUCUCUUUAUAUCCAAUUGCCCUAAACUGUCAUCUCUACUUUGCAGCCAAUUACAAAUAUCAGAGAUGAGUUAAAUUUGAUUUUUUCAAAUGACUAUGGGCCAUACCUGAAAUUAGGAAUUUUAUUGAGUUAAUAUUUAAUACAAAUUUGAAGCAUGUUGGUGCCUGGCGCAUACUAACUGAGCAAAUGGAGGAAGGAAGGAAGGAAGGAAGGAAGGAAGGAAGGAAGGAAGGAAGGAAGGAAGGAAGGAAGGAAGGAAGGAAGGAAGGAAGGAAGGAAGGUGGGUGCAAUCAGCUGCUGGUAAAUUACUCAGGGUGCUUGGGGAGCGUUAUGUUCAACAAAAUCAGAAUCUGUCAAGGAGGAAAAAUAGAGAAAAAGAUGCAAAGAUUCUGGUAGAUCUCACACACACACACACACACACACACAUUCCUAUGUGUGGGUGAAAGAAUGUAUUAAUAAGAAACAAAUGUCAGGUGUUCAUUAUUUACUUAUUUUUUGGUGAUUUGAGAGCUUACCCAGGAAAUAAUAAAGCAUCACAACCCUCAAUUCCUAUCUGAUAA
rnacentral:lncRNA from 13 species